GCUGGCGGCGUGCCUAUACAUGCAAGUCGAGCGGACAGAUGGGAGCUUGCUCCCUGAUGUUAGCGGCGGACGGGUGAGUAACACGUGGGUAACCUGCCUGUAAGACUGGGAUAACUCCGGGAAACCGGGGCUAAUACCGGAUGGUUGUUUGAACCGCAUGGUUCAAACAUAAAAGGUGGCUUCGGCUACCACUUACAGAUGGACCCGCGGCGCAUUAGCUAGUUGGUGAGGUAACGGCUCACCAAGGCAACGAUGCGUACCCGACCUGAGAGGGUGAUCGGCCACACUGGGACUGAGACACGGCCCAGACUCCUACGGGAGGCAGCAGUAGGGAAUCUUCCGCAAUGGACGAAAGUCUGACGGAGCAACGCCGCGUGAGUGAUGAAGGUUUUCGGAUCGUAUUGCUCUGUUGUUAGGG
rnacentral:rRNA from 1 species